UAAUAUGUGGUGACUUGGACUAUCAAUUGCCGAUACUUUGAAUUUCCUACUCACAAAUAUCCAACUUUUUGCAUCACUUUAUUGGAUUUUUUUUUAUUAUAGUAAGGACAUUGUUCACUCACCACAUGCUUGUGUGGAUGCAUAAGUAAAAUGUCAUGUCAUGUUUGUAAUUUUUAAAACAUGAGACAAUUAUCCUAAACAGCCAACAUAAUUAACUUGCAGGUGAGAUUUGACUGAAGACAUAUGUAUGCCCGUGCAGUGGCGGAGCCACAGAGGCACAAGGAGGUGUACCUCCUCGCACCAAAAAAUCUCUUGGAGAGAGGCCAGAAUUUGCCCCUCUGCUAGUGCCAAAGGUUUUGAACUUCGUGCGAGAAUCACCUCAAGCCUCAGUUUGUUU
rnacentral:lncRNA from 1 species